rnacentral:rRNA from 2 species
AAAACUAGCCAGUCUUUUGGGUAUGAAGCCCAUUUGGGCGAGAGUAGUACUAGGAUGGAUGACCUCCUGGAAAGUCCUCGUGAAAGGGUUUC